CAUCAUGUUUCCAAGGUUUAUGGCUAGUAAUAACCAUGGGAUCUAAAACUGCAUGGGGGAAUAACCUGAGACUUUGAAAGCAGAGGUUAGCAUAAUACCUAUAGCUGUCACUCACUUUUCCUAUAUUU
ensembl:snoRNA